UGCGAACCUAGCACUCUGACUUCCCACCCUCUCCGCUCCAGGCUUUCUUGAGGCUCAACCCGCAACUCAACACCAACACGAUCAUUCCAAAACCAGCAACCAAAAGUGCCGGUAAUCUCCUUCUGGAAGACCAAGGGCCAGAGAGCAUGACAAAGUAUGCGGAAGCUGGCAGAAUGAAUGCUAAAGCGGAGGCUGAAAGACCGCCAGCCAACUCCAAGACGACGCCGAGAUCACAUGUUGUAAGCGCAACUACAAGCCAUUGUAUCAAUAAGGCGCAAAAUCAAAUUAACAAGGACUUACGACCCAUGGCGAUAAAGAUAACAGCAGAAGUUAUGAUUACGUGACGCAGCUUACUGAAGGGCUUGGACUUGUAAAAUGUUUCUUCAAGCACUUCUCGACAGACGAAAACUUCUAGUGGGACUGAGAUUUUGAUGAGCACAUGAUCUACGGUGGUGAAGGAGGAACUCGCUGGUUGUUGACAUAUUGGCACCAAAGCACAAGCGGGCAAUGUUGAUGAGCCAAUCUUCAGAGCUGAAAUUGUUGAGUAUGUUUCCCUAAAUUAAAGGUUAGCAUUGAUCCCCUGCAAUCUAAGCAAGUCGCAAACCUCUGUUUUAUCGGUGAAGACGACAUAUCCGCAAACAGCAACCAGUAAACAGGCUAUUAAACUUAUGCCAGUUGAAAUGUGAGUGACCAUGUUAAAGCUGAACAUCAUUAGCAUCGUAUCAAUUCUGAUUCAAAACGAACACACCGAUCGAGAGUAGGUACAUUGAUACUCUUGUAGAUAUAAUUACUGUUGUGAUGGCACGCGUACGCGAAAGAGAUCACCCCUAUUGCUUGAAAGAUACCAGGUUUCACAAUUGAAAAUACAUCACUUGAAGACCCGCGUAACGAUGGGUCAACCGCGACGCUUCGGAAGAGCACGGACACAAUAAUGAUGACCAUGGAUACUAAAGCUAUCGUUCGAAUCAGCGGUUGCCGGCAUACAUCUACUUGUAUCCCCGAUAAAGUACCCACCAAAACUGGAUGAUUUUGAGAGCUUUACAAUGUCACGGUGUAAGCUCAGGGGGAAGGAAAUGAACAAGGUGCACAUGAUAAUGACUGCUUGGCGAUUGACAAAGAGACGAAGGAAGGCGUCCUCGGCGAAGGAGGGAAAGAUGUAAGAGAUGACUCGAGGGAUCGUAUCACCACUGUAGAGUAUCAGCUUUUAUCGCAGAGGAAAUGAACAUGAAAC
rnacentral:sRNA from 1 species